rnacentral:lncRNA from 1 species
CCGGAAGCCGCUGCGGUUCUCAGCCGGGGGUUCAGAGUUGCUGUCGGGAGGUUGUCGCUGCUGUGUGCUGGAGGGCUGCGGAGGUGAUGGGCGGCCCGGGAGGGUUUCUUGGUGUCUCUGUGGAGUCCCUGGGCCAGACCCCAUAGCGAAGGCUGCAGGAUCUUCUCCGGCCCCAGCAGCUCUGGUUGAGUCCACAGACCCUGCCUGGCCUCAGGCUCCUGGGAAGAGCAGAGUUGUCAGCAAGAGAGCCCGAGGGCUGAGGCCCAGCCGGAACAUGCCAGCUAACCAGAAUUCUCCCGGGCCAUCCCUGGCCCUGACUGCAGGGGGACGUGACAACUCCUGUGAGGUGAGGAGGAGGAAGAGGCGCCCCGGGGCAGGAAUUCAUUCAGAAGAAAAGAUAGUAUCUCUUUAUUUUAAUUUGUAUGACUUUUUUACCAGGCAGGAUAAUCCACCCCCCCAUUUUUAUUGGUCAUUCAUUUCCCUUGUGUGAAGUUCCUUCUUCUGCCCAUUGCUGAUUUAUUUAGCUUAGCUUAUGGAUUUUUAAAGAGUUAUUUAAAUGUGAUAACCCUUUAUCAUUCUUAUAUGUUUUGUGAAUAUUUUUUGCCACUUUGUAAUUUGCAAUUAAUUUUUAGUUUUGUUUACAAGUGGUAAAAGGUGUCUAAUAGUUCUCUAAGUCUUAAGGCUCUUCCCUGCUGUGUUUCUCCCAGAUUCCAGCUUCCUAGAGGCAAGUGCUCUUAAUCUUUUUAACAGAUUCUGUUUGCUUUAGUGUGGGGCAUUUUCUAUUGACUUUCCACUACAGAAAG